AAUUAUAUACAUAUAUUAAAAACCAACAUGGUUAUCAACAGUAAACUUUUCCGCUUUCAUAUUUUAACCACAGUAUUAUGCACAAAACGACUCCUUUCGCCCUUCUACAUUUGCAACUGUCCUUCUUGCACAAACGAAUAUACCCGAUGCAGAUGGUUUCAUACAUUUCUCGCAGUCUUUUCAUCUAAGAACUUACAUUCUCGAAUCCAACUCCUCCGAUUCAUAAGGUAUUUCGACUGCAAUCUCUUUCUCUUUCAAGUUUCAUCAUCGACUUCUCCCACUCUUACUCAAUUUAUUCUCAAUUUUGACAAAACUGUUUCUUGAUAUGCAAAAUUUUCUGAUUUCUGAUUUCGUUUCCGACUCUCUGCAAUUGAUGUUUCCGCUGUCUUCUCUUCCAAGAAUUAACAGUUUUGACUCCAACUCUUCCGAUUGAUAAGGUAUAUCAAUUGCAGUCUCUUUCUCUUUCAUCUUCUGAUCAUCGAUUUUCCCCAAUGUUUCUGAAUUUGUUCAACUUAUCGACAAAAAAAACUUCUUAAUGUGUACAUUUUCUGAUUUUUGAUUUCGUUCUGAAUCUCUAGAAUUGGCAUCCCCGCCGUCUUCUCCUCUAACAAUUUACUCUGUAGUGUUUAUUCUCCAAGCGAAGACCCUCUUUUGCAAUUAUCACACCUCCCCGCCCCCUCCAGUGGAAACGAUAAUAUCUCAUUCUUGCAAUUGUAGUGAAAGCGGCACCGGUGGCGAUGGUGGCUUCCACACAACCGUCUUCCGAUUGAUGCAAGAGGAUUGGUCCAUCUGUUGCUCCUGUAUUAUAGGGCUCUAUCAAUUUGGGCAACGAUUUUGAGCAAUCGCUAACGAAUUUUGUUGGAGGUCGGCAAUUUCCAUUUAAAGACGUAAAUGCCCUGAGAAGAUUUCGAUCGUCAAGUCUAAGAAGAAAAAGAGCGUCGCCAUGCUUUGCGUAAGGUACAACACAUUCAUGCACAUGUGGUCUCCUGCUGGUCAAACCGGAUUGUUUGGAAUGCAUGAAGUUAUGAAUCACGGUUGCGAUUUCAUAAAUGGACAAGGAAGCAAAAAAAGAUGGAUCUAACAGAGUAACAAUAAUAGGGAAGUGUGACUUCUAGCUCAUACUAAAAUUACUUUAUCUAUGCAUUAUUUGAUUUUAUUUAAUCCUUUUAUUAUUGUCACAAAAUUUUUUGAUUUCCGAAUAUAUCAACAGUUACCUAAAAACAAAAAAAGCUUCAUCA